CUGAUGGGAAGUGUGGCCGUUUCGGGCCGUAGGAGGGAGGAAUUGGGCUCGGGCCUUAGAGACCUUCUCCAGUUAUUUUGCAGGCCGCUUCUUUAGUAUCCCUGCUGCAAGCACAGACAACUUAAGGGGUUACCGGAGGGGAACACGAGAGGAGUGGAAUGCAGAAGGUAUAGUGGAUCAGUUAUAUGGGGACAGAGAGAGACUAGAUUUUGGGUGGUAUGCCCACAACACAAUAGAGAGAUGAUUUGUUACAGAAUAGCACUUUUGAAAGUCAUCUGAUGUUAUUAACCAACGUCACUCCAAUAAAUUAGAAAAAAAGAAUGAGUGAAUGAAUAGUGGUGUAACAGUUCACUACUUUUCACUAGAUACUUUGUUUUCACUAGAUAUAAAGGUUUUUAAACGUUAAGAAUUUUAAUAAACGUAAUCAAAACAAGAAUAAAAUAAUAGAGGAAAUAACUGCAUACAAAAAAGGAGACUCUGUUUCGACCCAUAAAAAUAGGUAUUAGAUAUGGAGAUGUAUUUUUGAGGGAAAGAACAUUAAUUUUAUCCUAAAGUGAGGCUCACUGUUUCAGAAUGGGAAAAAACAAAACAAAACAGGACAGAAAUCUGAACUACAUAGUUACAAGAGGUCUGUGUAAAAGGGGUCUUGAGAAAGGACAUUUUCUAUGUGGCCAAGCUGGUGAGACUAAAAUAAAUUUGGCACUAGUGGAGUGGCUCAGUUGCUUAGAGCCAAAUCUCAAGAGGUUGCAGGUUCUUCCAGUCACGGCACAUACAAGAAUCCACCAGUGAAAAUAAUCAGACAGAAUUGGAAACCGGUUUUAUUACCAAGGCUUUGACUGGAAUGCCAUGUAUGACCAAGACACGCAUAGACUCCGGUAAUGACCACACAGUUUUAAGGAAUUAAGACCGACUUAUGGAAGCCAACAAAAACUCUUGAAAAUAUUGGCCUGGCAGCUUGUUCACACCAUCACCAGCGGCCUCACCACUUGUCUACCUAUGAACAGGACUGAAUCCUGAACUUUUCUAGUGCUCUUAAAUAUUUGGCUGAGAACCUCCAAACCAACAUGUUAAUUCUUCCAUCCUUUAACUUGGAAUCAUUGAGAACUAAAGCUACCCUUUUCCCCACCGAGGUCUUGCAAGCUAAAGUGGGACAAGUUGAUGUUGGCUUUACAGAAAUCACCACAAUGGCUCAUCUACUGACAGUCUUCAAGCCUGCUGCAGAAAGAUCACCAGAGACUUGCAAGCUGCAGGCCAGGAGAAUCUAUCAGACUCUCACUGCCUGCCUUCACCACAUCGAAACACAAUUCUACAUGGACAUCUAGAAAACUCAAAUGCCUGCUUUCAGAACUCAGAACCUGAGGAAGUCUGCUCCUAUCAUUACGCUUGGUUUUUCUUUUGUGUCCAUAGAGAUGCCUCAUUAUAUAUUUCACUGCUUGCACCAGAGGCUUAACUUUGGGAGUAACACUGCCUUCCGAGGUGAGACACAACUUCACCUGAACUGCAUGGACUUUUCUCAGGACUGAGACUGAACAGUCCCUCAGCUCAGCCUUGAGUGUGAAACAUCCAGGAAAGUUUUAGAGGAGAGAACUGUGGAAGUGCAGAACAAGUGACUCUGAGAUGGGCCUGUGUGGUAUGUGGAUUGUUUAGAGCUGAAGACAACUUUAGCUAUGGGCUCAAGAGAAACUUCUGUUCCUCAUUUAAUUAUCUAGAAAAACUUGCAUUAGGGGCUUUGCCCAUAAUAACACAUCAUCAGCCACAAUCUUUUUGAUGCACCUAUAUGGCAGGGCAAACUUCUAUUUACUAAACAUCAGCUCUCCUUAGCAUCCUGCAAUGACCCUUCAAAGACCCCAAAGGCCUGUGAACUCAUCCCUAGCUUGAGAUGUGUUACAGACUUUCCUUCCUGUGGAAUCUCUGACUCUCAUGUACAAGGGCUUCCCAUGCGUAUGUAUGCCUUAAAUUUUGUCAUUUUGUUUUACUAAUCUGUUUCAUGUCUAUUUCAUUAUUAGAACCUUGAAUGUAAAGGAAUGUUUCUGUGUCACCCACAAUGUUAUCUGGACUUACUGUGGCGAUCAGUCUGCAAUGUAUACAAAUAUUGAAUCAUGAUAUUGUACAGCUUAAUUAAUUAAUGUGAUAGCAUAUGGCACUUAUACCUCAAUUAAUAAAAAUCUUUACAAACAAACAAACAAACAAAGAAAAAAGAAACA